rnacentral:rRNA from 1 species
AUGCCCAAAUGUGGCGUCGAGGCCUUCCGCGUCCGCACCCGAGCUGCGUCACUGCCAAGCUGCUACAAGCAUACAAGGCCUUCCGUGUUCAAGCUGAAAAGACAAGAAGAUCUCAUUAUUAACAUGGAUAAAAAAAGGUGGAACAUCUUCUUCUGUAGAAGUACACAAUGGUUGGCUGAAGAUUUGGAGUGCUAA